GGCACCUACGGCGCCAGCGGUUCUUCGCCCCGCCCCUCACUGAGACCCGUCCCUUCCGGGCGCCCCGAGCGUGUUCUCCACCUACGCCGCCUGCCAGAUGUGUGCUUGGAGAUGCCCCUGGAAGAUUCCAGCCAGCCUCUGCUGACCACGGUCGGGAAGUAGAUGUGCCCGGGAAACCGGCAGAACCGGGAGUCGUGACGCGGUUUUAAGCCACCAGGAGGCUCACUAUCCAACAGUGGAUAAACGGUCCCAUCCCAAAAUGCAGGAGGCUGGAGGUUGGAUCUUACCGGCCCAGGACAGGCGUGGACACGGCGGGUGGGAGCGAGCAGCCACCAGGAGCCACGCAGAGGCAUAGCCAGUGAGCCCUGACGGCGCACGGCAGCAGGUGCAAAUGUCUAGAGCCCCACAGGUAUGCCAUCUGUCUGUCCCUCCGGGAGAGGGGAUAGGGGGUGGAACAGGACAGCUUCUGUUGAACUGCUUUGACGAGUCUGGGGUUGG